rnacentral:rRNA from 1 species
UACGAAGGGGGCUAGCGUUGUUCGGAAUUACUGGGCGUGAAAGGGCGCGUAGGCGGUCUGAUAAGUUAGAUGUGAAAUUCCCGGGCUUAACCUGGGCGCUGCAUUUAAUACUGUUGGGCUUGAAUUCAGGAGAGGAUAGCGGAAUUCCCAGUGUAGAGGUGAAAUUCGUAGAUAUUGGGAAGAACACCGGUGGCGAAGGCGGCUAUCUGGACUGACAUUGACGCUGAGGCGCGAAAGCGUGGGGAGCAAACAGG